ACGCUCGACACCUACGGGGGCAGCAGUGGGGAAUAUUGCACAAUGGGGGAAACCCUGAUGCAGCGAUGCCGCGUGAAGGAAGAAGUAUCUCGGUAUGUAAACUUCUAUCAGCAGGGAAGAAAAUGACGGUACCUGACUAAGAAGCCCCGGCUAACUACGCGCCAGCAGCCGCGGUAAUCUGAGCGGGCUGGCAAGGC
rnacentral:rRNA from 1 species